rnacentral:rRNA from 1 species
AAACGACUCUCGGCAACGGAUAUCUCGGCUCACGCAUCGAUGAAGAACGUAGCAAAAUGCGAUACUUGGUGUGAAUUGCAGAAUCCCGUGAACCAUCGAGUUUUUGAACGCAAGUUGCGCCCGAAGCCUUUUGGUCGAGGGCACGUCUGCCUGGGCGUCACACAU